rnacentral:rRNA from 1 species
UUAACGGAGAGUUUGAUCCUGGCUCAGGACGAACGCUGGCGGCGUGCCUAAUACAUGCAAGUCGAGCGGACAGAAGGGAGCUUGCUCCCGGACGUUAGCGGCGGACGGGUGAGUAACACGUGGGCAACCUGCC